UCCACUGUAGGACAAUAGUUAAAUUCUCUACUAAAAAUGGAAAAUUCCGGGUUCAAACCUCGGCAGUGGAA
rnacentral:tRNA from 1 species